rnacentral:tRNA from 1 species
UCCCUGAAGGUCCAGUGGUUAGGCCUCAGCACUUUCACUGCCGCAGCCCGAGUUCAAUCCCUGGUUGGGGAA